AGUGAACGCUGGCGGUAGGCCUAACACAUGCAAGUCGAACGGCAGCACAGUAAGAGUUUGCUCUUACGGGUGGCGAGUGGCGGACGGGUGAGGAAUACAUCGGAAUCUACUUUUUCGUGGGGGAUAACGUAGGGAAACUUACGUUAAUACCGCAUACGAGCUACGGGUGAAAGAAGGGGAUAUUUGGACCUUGCGCGAUUGAAUGAGCCGAUGUCGGAUUAGCUAGUUGGCGGGGUAAAGGCCCACCAAGGCGACGAUCCGUAGCUGGUCUGAGAGGAGGAUCAGCCACACUGGAACUGAGACACGGUCCAGACUCCUACGGGAGGCAGCAGUGGGGAAUAUUGGGCAAUGGGCGCAAGCCUGAUCCAGCCAUACCGCGUGGGUGAAGAAGGCCUUCGGGUUGUAAAGCCCUUUUGUUGGGAAAGAAAAGCAGCAGGUUAAUACCCCGCUGUUCUGACGGUACCCAAAGAAUAAGCACCGGCUAACUUCGUG
rnacentral:rRNA from 1 species